GGCGAACGGGUGAGUAACACGUGGGUGAUCUGCCUUGCACUUCGGGAUAAGCCUGGGAAACUGGGUCUAAUACCGGAUAGGACCAUGCUUUAGUGUGUGUGGUGGAAAGUUUUUCGGUGCGAGAUGAGCCCGCGGCCUAUCAGCUUGUUGGUGGGGUAAUGGCCUACCAAGGCGACGACGGGUAGCCGGCCUGAGAGGGUGUACGGCCACAUUGGGACUGAGACACGGCCCAG
rnacentral:rRNA from 1 species